AUUUACACUGAAGGGCACAGCGAAGGUGGCAGCAUGUCCUUCUUGUCUCCCUGUCCCGUGUAACGGGGAUUUUAUGGGCACUGCUGGCUGCCAAAGCUUCUCAGUCCUUAAAAAAAAGGAAUCCUGCAAGUAUGACCAGCUGGGAGACGCUGUUGGGCUCAUGCACACACCCUCAUCCCCAUGGAUCGCUUCCUACUGGGAAGAGUCCUCUGAAUCACUCCCUGGGGAAGGCACUUGUUGUCCUCCAGUGCCACUUCCCUGGGGAAUGAGGAAUCACCUUCUGAACUGGGGCUGGAGCUGUGCUGGGGCAGGGGGACAUUCCCAGCCACAUCGUGCCCCUGGCAAAAAUGCAACACCAACAUCCCCUCCUUAGCCAGAGUCCUCUUUGUCUCCCAGGAAAGCAGAAGGAACGGGCUUUGCUGCUUCUCCAAAAUUCAGGGAGUGCUGGAUACCUACUGGGACUCUUAUCACACACUGCAGGGAAGAGCUCCAGAGGGAUACAUGGAAUAUUGUUAUCGGCUUGGAGGGCAGUGACGCACCCUUGGUGCUCGGCGAGUUUCUUACACAGCACCCCAAACUCCAGCCUUGCCCUGUGAUGACCCAUCCCUUCAUGCCAGUGAUGGAAUGGCUGCAUCCAGACGUGCCAGGGAGCCCUGAGCCCACGAUGUGACAGCCCAAGCCAGCUUUGAAACCGUGUCUCUGGAGGUGUCAUAGAUGGCUCUGAGCAGACUGCAAGGUGCCCUUAAUGCACUGAUGUUAUAGAACUGGGAUUGCUGGAUCACCCUGAAAAAAUUCAGAGUAUUGAGGUCUCCACAUAGAAUCACAGAAUGGUUUGGGAUGGAAGGGACCUUAGAGAUCAUCUAGUUCCAACUCCCUGCUAUGGAUAUCUUCACAUCCAAUAAUGUCUGGGGUCUCUGAAGAUGUAUUAGGUCUGGAAAACUAAUCUAGGAAAAUUUUUUCAAAGCAAAACACACCUGGGAUUUACUCAGGACCUGAUCCAAACUCCCCUGAGAUGGUCAAGAGCCAGCUGGUGGCCUCAGCCUCAUUUGACUCUUCUGCGCUGUCUGCAGUUGUUCCAAGCUCAGCUGAUCCUCUUGUGCUGGCUCAAGGAAAGUGAUCAUAAUCCUCAAAGUGUUCCAAGGAGGAUAAGAGCAGGAUUUGAUACUGCAGGGAUUGUGAGUGGCUGGCACGGGAGGGGUUGGCAAAGCUUGGAUCUCACAGUAACAGGAGCAGUGAUGCCACCUGGGGUGGAAACACCAAACAUUGGUUUAAGCCAGGGUUGGAGGUGCCUGGCUCUCAUUGGCAUUGCCAGGGACUGGGUACCUUUAAACAUUUUUUAGGUGUUGGGUGGGGGUUGAACUGGUUCUGGUUGGGGCAAGGCAGGGAUGUUCCAGCUGGGAAAGGACAACCCACAGCAGCACUCCAGUUAAGGAGGACAUCCCCUGGGCUGUGACAAUGGUGAAAAUGCUCAAAGUCUGCUCUGGUGAAAAGUGCACCAGACACCAGGUAAAAGCUAUCAGGAAUUGAGAAAUCCAACAUGCAGAAGUGAAAGGCACGUUUGAAUUUAAUCCCUCGGAAUUACGAGAAGCAUAAAAGUCCCGUUAUGGGAUGGCACAAUGUAUUAGCAGUCAUAGGUGUUAAAUCAAACCAAGGUGCAUGAUGUUAAUAGGCAAAGUGACUGUGUUUAAACAGUUGUCUACUUACUAAAUCUCUAAUUAAGGACAUGCAAACCAAGUGGCGAAGAUUUUCCACUAAACAUGAUAAAUUGUGAUUAGCAGAAUGUUUUUAAUGUGCUGCAGAGCAAGCCAGUUUUAUGAAAAAAGAGCAGAAACCACCCAAAUUUCUCCCAGCAGCUUUACCUGUAAUGACAGUGGUACCUCUGCAGGUCACAAUAAAUUGAUUUUUGCUGUGUGUUUUAACCUCUGACUGCAGUUUGGAUCCUAAUUUUUCUGGUUUUACAGCCCUUCUUUACAGCAUCUUUUGGGAUUUAUCUCAAACGGGCCAGACAAGCUGGAAGUGACUUUUUGGAAGCUGCCUCAUGACUUUCUGCCUGGAUUGAGGGUGAUGUGAGUGUGAGUAUUUUCCUGCUACAGCACAACCCUCCACAGGAAUAAGUGCACUUACUUGACUCAAUCAGCCAUCUGUGACUCCAUCAGCCACAGUGGAAACUAAUGGUAAUUGCCAAUUGUUAACCAGACAAUAGCAGAUGCUAACUUUAAUAUCCAACAGUGCUCUUCCGAGCAUCUUUUAUGGAGACAUGGCCUCACUUUAAUACGUGUUUUCUUUCUCCAAAAUAAGGCAACUUAGUAAAGGCUGAUUAGCCCAGGGAGCUAUGUGACUUGAAGCAAUGAACUUCCAGGAAUGGCAGCCCAUGUGCUGUUUCUGGGCCAGAAUGUCUACAAUGUGAAAAUUUAGAAGACUGGAUUUAAAAUUCUUCUCGGAAUGCAGUUUUUUUCCAGUGAAAUUUCACAAAGAGCCAAGUCCUGGAUGCUAACACGAGAGCGAUGCCUUUCCUGGCAGUGUCCUUGCCUCCUAUUAGAUAAUCAAUUAGUCUCAGAACAUUAAAAAGCAAAAUGCUGCAACAGGAUUUUCCACCAAAUUCAAAAAUAUUUACUGAAGGAUUUCAUUGCUCCUGUUUAUUUACACGGAGGCCCGAAGGCUGCACGACAUAAUGCUGCUGCUCUGGCACCAAGGCAGCUCUGCAGCCUCAGCCCCGAAGGACAUCUGGAGUUUCUGGGUCGCAGCAGUUCCUUUUUGCAGAAAUUUGCUCAUGGAAAGUAAUGAAUGAGCCCAUUUUCACUUCGACUGGGGCCUGCAGUCUACAGGAGACAUUAGGAGCAAUUUGUAGUCAACGUGCAGGUCUGUUCCAUCUAAAAUAUUAUCAAUGAGCUUGUCAACCCGAGCCUUAACCUUCUUUGUUAUUUUCAUCUGCUCCUCUCUCAGAUGUCUCUCCUCGUACCCAUAACCUCUGAAGACUGGCAACAGGAUGUCAUACACCUGUUUUGCUCAAGGCUGGGACUCGGAGCCCUGCGCGAGGUUGUGUCGGCAUUGGCUCGCUCGCUGCUUUGCUCAACGUAUAUGUCAGAAUGUCAGAUGAUCGUUGUUGUAUCUGCAGCUGUUGCAUGAGCAGAGUGCCAGGGGCACAACUUUCCUGCAGUGAGCUUUAAUUUGCUCUCCCCUCCCUGAAGAGCUCCCGCGCUUCACCUUGCUGCUGCUGCUGCAGCUGGAGGAGAGCUCAGCCCGCGUGCAGCUGAGCCUGCGGCACGGGAGGCAGGGAGGGAGGCAAGGAGGGAGG